rnacentral:rRNA from 1 species
CCUACGGGAGGCAGCAGUGGGGAAUAUUGGACAAUGGGCGCAAGCCUGAUCCAGCCAUGCCGCGUGUGUGAAGAAGGCCUUCGGGUUGUAAAGCACUUUUGUCCGGAAAGAAAAGUUCUCGGUUAAUACCCGGGGAUCCUGACGGUACCGGAAGAAUAAGCACCGGCUAACUUCGUGCCAGCAGCCGCGGUAAUACGAAGGGUGCAAGCGUUACUCGGAAUUACUGGGCGUAAAGCGUGCGUAGGUGGUUUGUUAAGUCUGAUGUGAAAGCCCUGGGCUCAACCUGGGAAUGGCAUUGGAUACUGGCGAGCUAGAGUGCGGUAGAGGGUAGUGGAAUUCCCGGUGUAGCAGUGAAAUGCGUAGAGAUCGGGAGGAACAUCUGUGGCGAAGGCGACUACCUGGACCAGCACUGACACUGAGGCACGAAAGCGUGGGGAGCAAACAGGAUUAGAUACCCUGGUAGUCCACGCCCUAAACGAUGCGAACUGGAUGUUGGGAGCAAUUAGGCUCUCAGUAUCGAAGCUAACGCGUUAAGUUCGCCGCCUGGGGAGUACAGUCGCAAGACUGAAACUCAAAGGAAUUGACGG